CUGGUAGCUGGAGCUCUGGAUAAAAGCUGAAGACAAGGUGAGCCAUGACCAAAAGGCUAAAGGUUUGUGCUGAGUGAGGAGGGUCAGGGCCUUAGCAGUCAGUGUCUGGAUGGUUAUUAUUGCCCCCCCGGGAGCCUGGUAAGAUGGGAGUGUGCACAGGUGUGUGAGGGUGGAGGGGUCUGGUGUGGUGGUGGGCCCUUUCCAGGAGCCCGCCCAGGAAGCAGGCCUCCGGGUGGGGGCAGUUUCAUCAAAAGCAAACAGAGAGAAAGGGAAGGGAGCCUUCUCUUCCUCCCCUCAACACCCCUGGAGUUUGCAGUGACCACUAACACUAAUGAGGCAGCUGCAGCCCCACCCCACAAGCCUCAGCACAGUCAGAGAAGGAAUUUGCAGAGAUGGCACUGGGACCAGCCAGAAAUCAGCUGUGGUUUUGGAGUCAGAUGGAGAGAAGUUAAAUCCUGGCCUUGCUGCUCCCUGACUGUAUGAACCUCUCUAGGCCUCAGUUUCCCCACUUGCAAAAUGGGAAACAGGCUCCACCUUCGAGAGUUGUCACUUGGAGUGUGUAAGGGGUCCUGAAGAGUGUCCUGAUACAUGGUGGCGGCUGUGGGGACGGGCUCUGGGGGACGGCCCAUUGGGCUAAGGUCCUAGGAGCCCAGAUGUGCACCACGCUGUCAUCCAAGCAGCACCCUGAGGAGCUGGGGGGAGGAGGCAGAAUCUACAAGGGCCCAAGGUAGCCAUGAAGCUGGGUGAGAUGAAGGGUGAGGCCUUCAAGCACAUACACCUGGCUUUGCUCUCCCUCUCACAGCAGCAGGUGCGCCAGGCAAAAGCCCGGGACAAGUGAGGGCAUAGAGACGCUGGUGUCCUGCAGGGUGGGGUGUGCUUUCCGCCCUGCUUCUCUGACUGACCUGGCCUCCCUCUCCCAAGCCCCAAGGCAGCAAGCUGGAGAGAGAGUCAAAUCUGAGUUGUCUGGAGUUAGGAAGAAUUCAAAGAGAGCACACAGAAAACCCAAAGCGCCAACAAUCAAGGCUCCUUAUCUUGGCUCAGGCCUCUUUCCCUCCCCAGGGCCUCUCAUGGAUACAGGGCCAGUCCACUGGGCACUUCCUCUGUGCCAGGUGUUAAAGCGAGAGUUGGGAGGCACUGGUGAGUAAGUGAGGUGGACCCCUGACUACCGAAGUUUCCCUUCCAGACCCGAGAGCUGCUAUUGGACAGUCAGCCCCAGUGAGGUGUGGGAAAGGCUGAGAUAGAGAACAGCGGGGGUUGGGGGAGAAAAGGGGUUCAGGGUGGAGGGCUGAUGGUUCGGGGUUGAGGCCAUGCUAGCUCAAGAUUCUGAUGGAGCUCAGCUUGACUCCUCUCAGCCCCAACCCUGUCCCAUGCAGACCGACUGUUGAGUCACUGGAGCUCAGAGAAGGACAAGGCACCCAGGCAGCCCCCGGGUGCUGGGGUCCACAGACAAGUAAACCUGGGUUGCCAUAUCGUGGGCUGCAGGGGGUCAGCACUGAGUCAUAAAAGGCCCACAGAGAACCUGGCAGCUGAGAAUGAGUGUCUGUGGGAUCCUCAGGGAAACUCCUCUUUCCUGAACCUUAGUUUCUUCAUCUAGAAGAGAAAACUAAACACGGUAAGUACACCGUUGAAGGACUGACCUGCACCCUGGGGAAGAGCACAGGAGGAGCUGGAGGUGGAGAAGAGUGAGGGAUGGAGAAGCCAAACUUCAGCUGGGAAACAGGACACAAGGCAGGAUGACUUGCUGGAGGGUGGAGGUGCCUUUGGAAGUGCUGGACCAAAGUUCAGGAACCAGCUGGAGGAGGGAUGUGGGACCUUCGUUUGCCGACCAGACAUUGAGCCCAUACCCGCCUGCAUCGGAAGGUGAAGUCAACCACUAGACCACCAGGGAAGUCCCUGGACUUAAAGAAGGAACCAAGAAGGAAGAAAAAGUUUAUUCAUACCGAACAGUUACAUGUACCUAUAUGUUUCUGCCUGACUCUGACUGGGACACUAAAGUCAGGAAGACUUCUUGGAAGAAGGGAGGUCUACAUUCAGCUUUUGAGAGAGAGAGAGGAAAAAAAAAAAAAAAGCGGCAAAGAAUGUCAUAGUACAUUUCAGAGAGACCCCUUAAAAUAAUAUCCUAAACUAGGAAUUGUUGAGGUUUGCUGUGUGAUCUUUCUUUCACUAUUUAGAAUAUGGGUUCUAUGGCUUUUUUCUUUCUUUCUAUUUUUACAUUUUGGUUAGGUGAAAGUUUCAACUGUGAAAGCUCCGUUUAAAAAGGAACGUAAUACUAAUCAAGAUUUACUAAAACCAAACAA